UGAGUCGGCCAGGCGGUCGCGUCGGCGUCGGCUGACCCUCGGGCGGUCCGGUGCCGCCGAGGAACGUCCGGGCUCCGCAGGGCAAGGUGGUGGCUAACGGCCACCCGGGGUGACCCGCGGGACAGUGCCACAGAAAACAAACCGCCCGCGCGUGCAGGUGGCGCGGGUAAGGGUGAAACGGUGCGUGUAAGAGACCACCAGCGCGCCAGGUGACUGGCGCGGCUCGGUAAACCCCACCUGGAGCAAGACCGAACAGCACACGUUCGAGGGCGGCCCGCCCGAGUGUGCGGGUAGGUCGCUAGAGGUGGCUGGCAACAGUCACCCGAGAUGGAUGACCGCUCAACGACAGAACCCGGCGUAUCGGUCGACUCAUCCG
rnacentral:RNase_P_RNA from 1 species